rnacentral:lncRNA from 1 species
AGCAGAUUCGUGAUGUUACAUUAUAAAAAAAAGAAUUGAGAAUGUUUUUUUUUCUUUUUCUCACCAAAUAAAUUUGUUUAUGCUUCGACAACACAAUUAUAACAAAAUAAAUACAUUAAAUAAGAACCUGAAAAAAUCAAAUGUAGAAGUAAAGACGAUUUCACCGGAAUCUCGAACGAAAUCCUUAACUCGUUUUUUUUUUGGUUGUUUUUCCUUUCCGUCUCCCUUCUUCUGUUUCGUUUCUUUUUUUUUCUUUUUGUUUCUUUUUUGUUUUUUCCUUCCUACUUCUUUGUUGUUUUCUUUUCUGUUUCUUGGUUGUUGUUUUUUUUCUGUCUCUUUUGUUGUUUUUCUUUUUUC